CUUACUACACCAUAAAAACCAAUUAUACCAAGCAUGUUUCAUUAGAUAGACCAUCUAACAUUUCUGUUUUGUUUGAUUAAUCAUUCCUAAUGGGCUUUGCACAUUAUUUUUUCUAAGUGUUAUAUUUUUUAAAUUCUAUUUCAAACUUAAUUAUCUUUUUCAAUUAGAGCAUUCAUUUUUUUGUAUACACAAGUCCAAGUUCACUUUAUUUCAUUCUUCUAAAUAAUCAAAAUUUGUAUUCAUUGAAAUGUAUACUAAAGUAACUCAACAGUAUAACCAAAAUCAUACAUAAAAUAGUGUAAAUAUACUAUAAUGUUGCAAAGCAUAAGCCAAUAAAUACAGAAUAAAGGACUCUUUGUUUUUGAUACUGACUUUAUCACUGUGUUAUAUCAGGUGAGCCCGAACCUGAAAUUUCACAGUGAUAAAGUUAGUAUCAAAAACCAAAAGGUCCUUUAUUCUGUUUAUCGGUAAUUACGAAAAAAUAAAAAUAUUUACAAUAAAAAAGCAAAUAACAAACGAACUAUAUUGCGUCGAAUUACAGCGAUUCAUACUUGAUGUCACAGGCUGCAUUAUGUCAUUUGAAAUUUGGUCACAGUGUAGUAAUCAUAGCGUUCUUUGCACAAAAUAUUGAAAAUGAAAUAUUGCAUGUGUUUUAUUAAUUUUGUUUUGGACACUGUAACAAUUCCAAAUAUAAGCGGUUAGUCAUAUUAUUUCUAUUUUGUCACAAAGCACAGAAUGAUAGUGAUACGAUAUGAGACAUCAGAUUAGUUAUUGUUUUAGAAUUUCAACUUCAAGCUCAAUUUUUUUUUAUCAAUCUUUGGCUUAUGGACAAU
rnacentral:lncRNA from 1 species